rnacentral:sRNA from 2 species
UAGUUAAUCAUCUAGGGUUCCGCCAGAUUAUCUGGGUCAGGUCCAAGAGAUGAUGCACAUAAUAUUAUGUGUUCACGGACGGAUAAAAGCCUAGGAGAU